GAUGAACGCUAGCUACAGGCUUAACACAUGCAAGUCGAGGGGAAACGACAUCGAAAGCUUGCUUUUGAUGGGUGUCGACCGGCGCACGGGUGAGUAACGCGUAUCCAACCUGCCCACCACUUGGGGAUAACCUUGCGAAAGUAAGACUAAUACCCAAUGAUAUCCCACGAAGGCAUCCGAAUGGGAUUAAAGAUUUAUCGGUGAUGGAUGGGGAUGCGUCUGAUUAGCUUGUUGGCGGGGUAACGGCCCACCAAGGCGACGAUCAGUAGGGGUUCUGAGAGGAAGGUCCCCCACAUUGGAACUGAGACACGGUCCAAACUCCUACGGGAGGCAGCAGUGAGGAAUAUUGGUCAAUGGGCGAGAGCCUGAACCAGCCAAGUAGCGUGCAGGAAGACGGCCCUAUGGGUUGUAAACUGCUUUUAUAGGGGAAUAAAGUGAGCCACGUGUGGUUUUUUGCAUGUACCCUAUGAAUAAGGACCGGCUAAUUCCGUG
rnacentral:rRNA from 1 species